UACGAAAAUUUUCCGCUUUCAGGUAGAUUUACUGUACCGCGGAUCUUCUAACUUUUAAGUAAAGUAAGCGUGUUUGUAUGUGUGCAUGAGUUUGUUUGCCUGUUUUUUGCCUUAGUUUUUUGUUUAAUGAAUUUUGCCUGCCUUAUCUCGUUUCUGUUUAUUUUAUGGUUAAAAAUUUUAUCCCGCACACUCGCACACAUACUCAGUAACACGUGCGUAAAUGUACGUAGGUAAGUGUUCUUAUGUAUUCCACAAUGAAACUACAUUUCUAUUUGGUUUUUGCCCAUACCAACGGCUAAAAGUAAGGUAAAACAGUCAAGGGCGCACACCUGCCCUUGGGAGCAAAGGAGAAAGAAGCUUACAGACGAAUGGCCAUUCAAACGGGAGCGACAAGAUAGGAAGAUGUCUGGGAAAACCCGAGAAUGAUACAUCCUAUUAUUACCUAAGUGUCCGCCGGAAAAUGGAUGCCCAUUAAUGAGGUUUACCCAAGUAACCCAAACCCUUAUUUUGCCAAUGAUAAAAAAUAUCUUUGUCGCUACAUUUCAGUUGUAAUUCCGGCUAUGAGAAGACUGUCAAAUUCGUUACCUACAAUGAUGUCCCUGGGUACCGCCUCGGCAACAAAAAAAAAACAAAAAAAUCACCGCCAACUUUAAACAAAUUAGCUGAAAUAUAUUCAAACUGUGCAUAUAAAACAGCAGAGUCGCUGCGCAGCCAGCAUAAUACAA